UCACUCGGGUUCUUCAUAAUGCACAAGACUUUCCCCUUUUACUAAAGACUUCCUUGGAGGGGAACGCCGAUGAGUGAAACUAUUUUUGGUGGGAUUUGCUUUUUGGCCGAGC